rnacentral:rRNA from 1 species
UUAAAGUUGCUGCGUUUAAAACGCUUGUAGUUGGAUUUCGGGGGCGGGACGGCUGGUGACUCCCACUGUGGCGUCCACUGCUGUCUCUCCGUCUGUGCCUUCACGUUUCCGAAACGGCCGUUAACUCGGUCGCGGAGGGGGCGGAGUUGGCGGGCGGGGGGAGUUUCUCCCAAACCUAACCCACCGAUGUCUCCACGGGUGCUCUUGGUUGAGUUGCUCGAGGUGGUCGGAAGCUUUUACUUUGAGAAAACAGGAGUGCUCAAAGCAGGCAGUUCUCGUUGGCCAAUGGACGAGUUGUGCAUGGAAUAAUGGAACAGGACCUCGGGUCCGUUGUGUUGGUUUACGGUGUGCCGAGGUAAUGACUAAGAGGGACAGACGGGGGCAUUCGUAUUGCCGCGGGAGAGGUGAAAUUCUUAGAUCGCAGCAAGACGAACCACUGCGAAAGCAUUUGCCAAGAAGGUUUUCAUUAUUCAAGAA